AUCGCGCGGCGGCGGCGGGAGCGGCGGCGGCGGCGGCGGCCGGGGAGGUUCACAAUAAAGGUGCUAAGAAAGAGAAUGUAAGACAGGAAAAUAAUUAAAUAUUCUUACCGAGUGUCUUCAAUAGGCCGCGUUUAAGAGGCGUCUUGCACUCCCUGUUGCCAGUGGCUGGAACACAAUGGAUCACACAGGGGCGAUAGACACCGAGGAUGAAGCGGGACCUUUAGCCCAUCUUGCUCCAAGUCCUCAGAGUGAAGCUGUGGCUCAUGAAUUCCAGGAACUCUCCUUGCAGUCCAGUCAAAACUUACCCCCUCUGAACGAAAGGAAAAAUGGUGAGUUCAGCAUGUGCAGUGGGAUCUUUGAUUUACAGAUUUCCCCUCUUUGGGAGCCCAGUUUAUUCCUGUUUGGUAGUAAUAUUUUGGUCAGUUCAGCAGUCUGUCAUGAAGGAGAACCCUGUAGAGAUACUGGAUGGUUUUUAAUAACAGGCAGAAUUUCACUUUCCAUCCAGUUCUUUCAUUAUUUUCCCAGUAAGUAUCUUUGGUAGUGACGUUACCUUUGGAAAUAAACUUUAGAUUUAGCCAUUUUAGCACAAGCAGAUGAUUUCAUGCUGGAAUGGCAUUGGAAAGUAGGUUCCUGUGCUGAUGCCAGGGAAAUAGAUUGUGGAUAUGACUACAUUCUCCUCCCACUUUCUCCAUCUCCAGUGUGUUGCACCUUAAUUUCAGAAGUGGCAAAGCUAUCUCAGUGAUGACUAAGAAGAAGUCAGGAACUUCUUAUUUGAGUAUUUAUUAUAUUAAUGGGUAUUGGAUAUAGUCAUAUUCUCAGUCUUUGGCUGCCUCAUCGUUGUCUACAAAAUGAAUAUUUUCUAUUCAUUAUCUGUUCAGGAAAUUUUCAUUGCUCACAGAGAUACUCCAGAGUCUCCAGAAGACACAAUACUGUCAAUUUUUAACAUAAACAAAUAGAGAUAGAUGACAUAUACUUUUAAUACUUAAGAUACAAAAUCUAACAAAGUAAUGUUAAAAUUUACAAACCACUCUAAGCAUGCACAUUAAAAAACAGAAUUAAGGUUUUUUUCUGGAAUUACUGUAUCUUCCACAGUUCUGAUGAGUCCUACACUCACAAGUAUAUUUGUAAAUUUCAGUUUUUUAAAAGCCAGAAGAGAUAAAACUGCUUUCCCUGCGGAGUACCUCAUUAUGUACCUUGUCACUUAUUUUCCUGGGUCCUGAGUGUUUUCCAGUCCUCCUACUUAUUAGACUUACCUUAUUUAGGAAAGUGGAUUAAAAAAACCAUACAUAUACCACUCUUCUUAGGCCUUUAGUACAUGUCUUUGGUAUGUACUUGUUCUCCUUCAAAUAAAAUGUGUUUUGCUUUGUAUCUGAAUCUUGUUGCUACGCACAGCCCUUGACCAUUUUGAUAGGUUUUUUUUUUUGUUUUUUUUUUUUUUUUUUUUGAGACAGAGUCUCACUCUGUCACCCAGGCUGGAGUGCAGUGGCGUGAUCUCUGGUCACUGCAAUCUCCGCCUCUUAGGUUCAAGUGAUUCUCCUGCCUCAGCCUCCUGAGUAGCUGGGAUUACAGGCACGCAUCACUAUGCCCAGCUAAUUUUUUGUAUUUUAGUAGAGAUGGGGGUUUCACCAUGUUGGUCAGGCUGGUCUCGAACUUCUGACCUUGUGAUCCACCUGCCUCGGCCUCCCAAAGUGCUGGGAUUACAGGCCUGAGUCACAGCACCCGGCCAAUUUUGAUAGGUUUAAAGCAACAUCUUAGCUUAGGUGCUGUCAAACCUUCAGGAUGCUGUGGUUAACUCACUGGUGAUGGCUUUUAAACCUUCCAUCUUUUCUUUCUUUCUUUUUUUUUUUUUUUUUGAGAUGGAGUCUCACUCUCUUGCCCAGGCUGGAGUGCAGUGGCACUAUCUCGGCUCACUGCAGGCUCCGCCUCCUGGGCUCACACCAUUCUCCUGCCUCAGCCUCCCAAGUAGCUGGGACUACAGGCGUCUGCCACCACGCCCAGCUAAUUUUUUGUAUUUUUAGUAGAGAUACGGGAUUUCACUGUGUUAGCCAGAAUGGUUUUAAUCUCCUGACCUCGUGAUCCACCUGCCUCGGCCUCCCAAAGUGCUAGGAUUGCAGGCGUGAGCCACCGCGCCCAGGUUAAACCUUCCGUCUUUUAAGAACCCACAUUUACCUUAGACAGUAGCUGAGAGAAUAUAGCCACAUUUACUGAAACAUGACUAAGUGUGAUCAGAUUUACACAGUACACUUGGACCAGUAUAAUGUCCAAAUUAUUACCCUAAAAGAAAAUAAGAGUUGAACUGUUAUAAAAUCAGAACACACAGUUGUGCACAAUAAUGGGUCUUCUGUAAUGGGGAGGGAAGAGUGAGGAGACUUUAUCCUUUAUGGUCAUUUACAGCAAAAGUUAAUAUGUAUGCCAGAAUAUAAGGUGGCAAGCCCAAAUAUAGAGCAGUCUCCCCUUAUAAACUUUUAAGGAAAUAGAUUAAAUGGUAAAAAUUUUAAUUUAUUAAUGUAGUUACAUUUUAUGAAGCAUUGCAAUAAUGUGGAAGGAUUGCUUUAACCACUCUCAUUGUUCAUAAAACCAUCCUACUCAAAGUCUAUAUGUGAAUCUUUGUGGUCAGUGUUUUUAUCAGUAGUAGAACCCCUGUGCAUCAUCCAUCUAGCACUAAUUUCCAGGGUGCAUCUUCAUUUCUGUCUCUUUGGUUUGAGUUACAGCAGCUUUGUAACAUGUGCAUGAUUUGGCACUGAACAUUUCUUUUUUUUUUUUUUCAUUAGGCAAACAUUUAUUAAGCACUUAAUAUGUACAAGGGACAAGAGAGAUGCAUUUUUUAAUAUUGUCUUUGUUUAGUAACAGUCAAAAUACCACACAGAAAAUAAUUUAAAACUUAACCACAAUGUUAUUAUUGACCAAUUGGGUUUAAUACGUUUUCUUCAAAAGAUGUUUGAUAUUUUGUAGGAGACAAAAUAAUUAUUUAGCUUAUGAGAAGAUAGGGCAUAAUUUUGGAAAUCCAGGCCUCUGAAGGAUGGAGGUGCGUGUUUUAGACACAAAGAAUCUUCCCGGUAUCUUUGAAUAAAUCCAUAUUUGGUAGUACUGAUUCUUUUUUUUUUUUUUUUAAUACUUUAAGUUUUAGGGUACAUGUGCACAACGUGCAGGUUAGUUACAUAUGUAUACCUGUGCCAUGUUGGUGUGCUGCACCCAGUAACUCAUCAUUUAACAUUAGAUAUAUCUCCAAAUGCUAUCCCUCCCGCCGGCACUGAAAAUUUCAUGUCUAAAUCACAAGUACCAUUCACAAAACAGUUUUUUUUUUUUAAUUGUCUUAGUUAUAUACUCACAAUCUCUAUAACAUAAUACUUGUUUGAUUUGUCAUUGGUUGUUACAUUUUAUGGGGUCUAGUUUCUGUUUUAGAAUUUUGCCUUUUUUUAAGCAGAUAAUGUAUUCAUGUGGUUUAAAAUGUUAUGAUUACCUAGUGAAAAGGAGGUUACCCUCCCAAUCUUGUCCCUUACCUGCACAGUUACUUUCCCGGAAUUAACUGUUACUAGUGUUCUUUCUGAGAGAAUAAUAUUUGACUACUUUUUAAAAAGCAGUUUUUAAAAGGCUACUUUGUAACAACACCAAACACUUUGCAUUUUAAGGUUCUAACUGGGAAUAAUGUAUUGAUUUUUUUCUCUCUUCCUUUUUUUUUCUAAUUCUGAUUAAAAUAUUUCUGUAAACCUGAAAAUAGCUUGAAAAGAAGUUGGUUUUUAAGCCAAUGUGUUUUCUUCAAGAGUCCUUUUUUGUUCAAUAUGGAGUAAAUGAAAGAACAUCUCAUAUUCUGAGAAACUGUGCAAAGACUCCACUAUGAGAUUGUUCCCUCUUUUCUAAUAAAUGACUUCAGGAAGUUAUUAUAGAAGCCUUAUUUUAUAUUCAGACAUAUAAUUUCAGGCUCAUGAUAUAUUAACCUAAUUUGCAUAUACAUUCCAAGGCAUAAAAGGCAUCCUUAUUUGGCUGUCAGAAAUCUAGGUUUUUGGGGAAAUGCUGCUCAAAGGAUACAAAUUUCAGUUAGAUGGGAGGAAUAAGUUCAAGAGAUCUAUUGCACAACAUGGUAGCCAAGGUUAAUAACAAUGUAUUGUAUUGAAAAUUGCUAAGAUAGUAGAUUUUAAGUGUUGUCACCACGAAAAAAAUAGUAAACAUUUGAAAUAAUGAUGUGUUAAUUCAAUUGAGCAAUUCCACAGUGCAUACAUAUUUCAAAAAAAAGUACAUGAUAAAUAUAUAUAAUUUUUGCUGGGCGCGGUGGCUCAAGCCUGUAAUCCCAGCACUUUGGGAGGCCGAGGCAGGCAGAUCACAAGGUCAGGAGAUUGAGACCAUCCUGGCUAACACAGUGAAACCCCAUCUCUACU
rnacentral:sRNA from 1 species